rnacentral:rRNA from 1 species
GACGAACGCUGGCGGCGUGCUUAACACAUGCAAGUCGAACGGAAAGGCCUAGCUUGCUGGGUACUCGAGUGGCGAACGGGUGAGUAACACGUGGGUGAUCUGCCCCUGACUUUGGGAUAAGCCUGGGAAACUGGGUCUAAUACCGGAUAUUCAUUUUUCCUCGCAUGGGGAUUUGUGGAAAGCUUUUGCGGUUGGGGAUGGGCCCGCGGCCUAUCAGCUUGUUGGUGGGGUAAUGGCCUACCAAGGCGACGACGGGUAGCCGACCUGAGAGGGUGAUCGGCCACACUGGACUGAGACACGGCCCAGACUCCUACGGGAGGCAGCAGUGGGGAAUAUUGCACAAUGGGCGCAAGCCUGAUGCAGCGACGCCGCGUGAGGGAUGACGGCCUUCGGGUUGUAAACCUCUUUCAGCUCCGACGAAGCGCAAGUGACGGUAGGAGCAGAAGAAGCACCGGCCAACUACGUG